rfam:Picea glauca, whole genome shotgun sequence.
UACAACAUAGUGUUAAUGCAUUGGAUCUCAUUAGAACUCCAUAGUUAAGCAUACUCAAGCUAGAGUAGUACUGGGACGGGUGCCCUCCGGGGAAUUCCUAGUGUUUUAC